ensembl:lncRNA
GUAAACUCUCGCUGUGGCAGUUCUACAGCUCCAGUGGCUGUGGGCGGCAUGUGGUGGGCAGGCCAGGGGGAGAGGGUUAAUGAGCUGUGGAGUUCUCUCUGUUGGACUCAUGGAGGCUGAUGUGAAAUCUUCGCUCAGCUAGUCUUGAGCAUGUUAGAUUUGCACUUGAAGACCUCAGGUUACCUACAUUUUACAAAGAGUUGAGUCAAGGAUUCUUGCCUGAGAUUCCUGAAAAUAGGUACAUAAGGAAUGCAGCUAACAGAGUUCAUCUAAAGUCAUUGGUUGAGACCAAAGAAAGAAGAAAGGAAAGAUAAUUUGCAAACAUCCAUUCAAGUGGCAAAAAGUGAUUCCUUUUUCAUUUUGGGUCUGAAGGAUUUGUUGUGUGUUGGUGAUACUUGAUACACCUGUCUGGGGAGUUCUCCUUAUGUAAAUGUCUGAAAUUAAAAGACGCUUGCUUCUUGGAAGAAAAGUUAUGACCAACCUAGACAGCAUAUUAAAAAGCAGAGACAUUACUUUGCCAACAAAGUCCUUCUGGCCAAAGCUAUGGUUUUUCCAGUAGUCAUGUAUGGAUGUGAGAGUUGGACUGUAAA